AACACUACAGCAAAUCACCACAACACUACAGCAACUCACCACAACACUACAGCAACUCACCACAACACGACAGCAACUCACCACAACACUACAGCAAAUCACCACAAUACUACAGCAACUCACCACAAUACUACAGCAACUCACCACAACACUACAGCAAGUCACCACAACACGACAGCAACUCACCACAACACGACAGCAACUCACCACAACACUACUGCAAAUCACCACAACACGACAGCAAAUCACCACAACUGCAAAUCACCACGACACAACUGCAACUCACCACAACACUACAGCAAAUCACCACAACACAACUGCAACUCACCACAACACUACUGCAAAUCACCACAACACGACAGCAAAUUGCCACAACACAACAGCAAAUCACCACAACUGCAAAUCACCACAACACGACAGCAAAUCACCACGACACGACAGCAAAUCACCAGAACACGACAGCAAAUCGCCACAACACUACAGCAAAUCACCACAACUGCAAAUCACCACAACACUACAGCAUUGAUGAGACUGAAAUGGAAAGGGUAGGUACAUAUUGGAUACUGAUCCUCGUCCUGAUUGGUUGCAUAUCUCUGUCUGUCAUUUUCAAUGCAUAACAAACUUUUACAGUUUCUUCAUCGGCAGUGAAGGGGGAAUGUAGGGUAGAGGCUAACGUUACUGUGGAAAGAGAAAUGAUGUUAACGUUACAAUGUAUUAUUGCUCUUACUGUGGCAAGAAAUUGUUUUCAAAACUACAGCCAAGUUUUUACAGUAGCUGUGGCAAAGGGCUUCCCAGAGUGUUAUUUGACAAAUGUGAAGCCACCACUGAUGAAGCUACACCUGAGAGCGCAGCGUAUUCAGGUAACAUUAACAACAUUAACAUUAUCAACUUUGCUGUAUUUGAAGCUAAGUGAUGUGUAAUGCAUUGUUAUUAACAUAUACCGUUAUGUAACAUUAUGUUAUAGCCACGAAAUAUAAAACCGGCACCAGACAUCUAGCAUCUAGUAAGCUAGGAGUCAUGGCGAGUUCUGCCUACCGCAGGUAAACUACGACACUGUACCUAGCUUCCAAUUUGGCAGUUAAGGGGAACUUAAGUGAAAGUUAACCUACAUUUGCUGAGCAACCGAUUCUUUUUUGCACCUCUUACUGCUGUGAAAGCUGCAUUCUGGGCAAAGCCUUAACGCAGUGAAUAAAUAAUUUCCCCCUUAACUGCCGAAUCGGAAGCUGCGAAACUUCAGUGUCGUAGGUAAGCUGUAUCGUAGUCACGCUAUUGAGCCAAAACGACCCAAAAGGUGAGCUGGUAAAGCCUCUGCAACACCUGUUAAAAAAGUAAUGUAGUAUGCCGUUAUUUAAUUGGCAACGUUACAUUAUCAUUUGAUGAUAGUUGAGAAGCUUGUGGUGCAACAUAAUCUUUUUUUGCAAAGCAGAAAACGGUUUUGAGCUCUGUCUAAAUAAUUUGCCAGAUAAUGUUUAAUGUUAUUUUUGCUUCUCAUCCAGAGUUGGUGUCAAACCAGUGCGGAUCCACAAACCCAACUCUUUGUACUUUUUUGCAAUACCGCAAGAAAAAGUCAGAGGAAAGACUUUUCAUUUGGGGGAAUGGGAAAAGUGUCGAGAUAAAUAUUGGAUUGAUGGCACUGCAGAAGGGUGUUUUAAAACCUUUGUGUGAAAAAACACUUCCAUUGCUUAUAGACCCUGAGAAGAAGAUGAAGGACUUCAAUAGGGAUCUUGAAGACCACAGACCCUUCAUCCUCUUGUACCCAGAUUCAUGUUGAUGUGCCUUGAACAGACCGUCCUUUUGUGCUGAAGGAAUAUAAGGCACAAGUUGGGAAAGCAUAUCAGAGGAUCACAAAUUUUUGAGAAAGGAAGUACACAGACCUGUAUUCGCCAGUUGUCAUUGAUGAUGAAGAUGAGGUGGAGGAAAUUGCUAAUGAAAGACAUAUUUUGACAAAGGAACCUGAAUUCAAAGAUGGUCUAGGAAGUCUGCAGCAUUGCAGCAGCAUCCUGGUGUGCUAGCGCCUGUCCUAUGCUACUCAAACAGGAAGCUAACUGCGGCAGACAUGGAGGCCCUCUUCAGACCAGAACUAAGUCCAGCAGGAAGCAACAGAAGGCAGGAGGAAGGGAAAACGCUGCAAUUUUGGGUUGAUUAUCUCUUUGACACUGAAGAAACACAGACUACAGUAUCUCUGGAAGAUGUACUAAUGUUUGCCACAGGGCUGUCAUCAAUGCCACCUGCAGGGAUAACACUUGCACCAAGCAUUGAAUUCCUUAACAAUUCACUGUUCCCGAUGGCAAAUACAUGUGCCAAUAAGCUGAGGUUACCACAUCUGGACUCAUACUGUCUACUCAAAACAAACAUGGGUUUUGGUGUCCAUAAUUCCCCAGGAUUUGGGUGCAUGUAAAUGAAUGUGAUAUUGUAACUUAGAGGGUAUCUUCAGUUUUUUCAACCUGGACCAUGUUUUUGUGUCUAAGUGACUGAUGGUAACAACAAUCUUUGUAAAUGGUCUAGUGUUAAGCCAGACUGGUGCAGUCAGCAGUGGUAAAACAGGCUCCAAUGUAAUAUUAAUUUUUUUAAUGUUUUUGUGGAAGUAAAUUGAAGGAGCGCAAAGUGCUUGUUUUACCCACCACAGACAUGAUCAGUGUCUUACAGAAAGCAUUUUUUGUGGACUUAAAUUGCCCAAUAACUUAAAAUGUAGCUUUAGCUUGUUUCGUCACUGCCUACUGCAACAGUCUUGCUUAUUAAGCCUACUACAAAUUAAAAAAAUUAUUGUUCCCACCAGUCACUUAAACACAAAAACAUAGGAAAAUAAGAUCCAGGCUGAAAAUUACACAAUCAUUAAAAACAAAAUCAGUGUUAUUUGCAAAGGAUGUUGUAGAGUGUUCCUACAUAACCUAGUAGCCUACACUGAAAAUAAAAUGGCUUAAGAGCCUUGCCUUAGCACAUUGCAUUUGUUGUACAUUUUCCCUGGGCAGAAGCAACAGUGUUUGUAGAAUGCAUUGCCUUUCGCUUUGAUUUAGGAAUUUUGCACUUUUUUGACACUAUCGUUAUUCAUGCCCAUUGGCUGUUGUCCUUUGAGGUUCCAUUUAACAAAGAAAAAAUCUAUGUAAUAAAAUGUAAAAACAAUAACAAAAAACAGGUGUCUGUACAUGUGCUGUCAUUAGUGACCUGCAUCUCAAUGGAAGGUCAUUUUCUAUUUAUAAUCCAUCUAUAUUUCCUUGAGAUCAAAGUACAGUUCUAAUGAUGCCUCCCAAUGCUCUGGCCUCUGCAAUCCAUUUUGUACCAUUGCAUGCUCUAAAUAGUCCUGAAUGUCUGGAUCACCGCAUGAAGAAAAGAUCUGCCUUGACUCAGUAAAUGCCUCCAGUUCCAUUCCUUCAAUAGCAAAUCCACAGUCCCUUGAACCGAACCUGUAAA